rnacentral:rRNA from 1 species
UACGGAGGAUCCAAGCGUUAUCCGGAUUUAUUGGGUUUAAAGGGUGCGCAGGCGGAAGAUUAAGUCGGCGGUGAAAUUUUGCAGCUCAACUGUAAAAGUGCCUUCGAAACUGGUUUCCUUGAGUGUGGAUGAAGUAGGCGGAAUUUGUGGUGUAGCGGUGAAAUGCAUAGAUAUCACGAGGAACUCCGAUCGCGUAGGCAGCUUACUAAACCAUAACUGACGCUCAUGCACGAAGGCGUGGGGAUCAAACAGGAUUAGAUACCCUGGUA